rnacentral:rRNA from 1 species
UGGGGAAUUUUGGACAAUGGGCGCAAGCCUGAUCCAGCAAUGCCGCGUGCAGGAUGAAGGCCUUCGGGUUGUAAACUGCUUUUGUACGGAACGAAAAAGCUCUCUCUAAUACAGGGGGUGAAUGACGGUACCGUAAGAAUAAGCACCGGCUAACUACGUGCCAGCAGCCGCGGUAAUACGUAGGGUGCAAGCGUUAAUCGGAAUUACUGGGCGUAAAGCGUGCGCAGGCGGUUUUGUAAGACAGAGGUGAAAUCCCCGGGCUCAACCUGGGAACUGCCUUUGUGACUGCAAAGCUGGAGUGCGGCAGAGGGGGAUGGAAUUCCGCGUGUAGCAGUGAAAUGCGUAGAUAUGCGGAGGAACACCGAUGGCGAAGGCAAUCCCCCGGGCCUGCACUGACGCUCAUGCACGAAAGCGUGGGGAGCAAACA